rnacentral:lncRNA from 1 species
UUGUUAUGACAUUUUCAUGGAACAAACAAACUGCCCCACCAAUCCUCCUUCCUUCCUUAUGCCCCUCUAGCUGCAGGUUCGCUCGCUUGUAUUACUUGUUAUCCUCUUGAACUCGCAAGGUCCCGUAUGCAGGCAUUUAAAGAUGGUAAAAGGCCUCCUGGAGUCUGGAGGACCUAUCAUCUCCACAAGCAGAAGAAGCACCCCUGGAAACCCAAUGUUGAUUAAUGCCGGUUGGUUUGGAACAGAGACGGAGGAGUGAGGGGACUUACUAUUCAUGGGAGUUGGGCCUCGUGUUGGACGUGCAGGCCCCUCAGUUGCUAUUGUAGUGUCUUCUUAUGAAGUCAAGUAUGUAUUACAAAAUAGAAAAACAUCUCAACCUUAGUUUCUUUAAUUA